CUCCGCCGCGGGCUCUGCCCGCUCGCCUGCUCGCCUGGUGGGGGAGAGGGGAGCGGGGCCGACACAGGACUGCAGUUGACAGCAGAUAACUGAAAGCUCGGAAAGCGAAACCGUGGAUAAGCAGGGGAACUGUGGCAUCCCAUUUAAAAUUGCUUCUGAAGAGAAGCAUGAGGUUACAUCUGUAAUCUCCCUGCAGCAGAGUCAACUGCAUAAGAAACCAAAAGACACACCUGCUCCAUGCCAGCCUAAGCCACCACAUAAAAAGUCAGACCAUCUGCUGGAAGAACCACAUGGAGAGGCCCUGAGUCAACAUGGAGAGGAAGAAGGACUUGACUGAAUCCAGCCUUCCAGCUGUCCCUACCAAGGUGCCAGGCAUGAGAAUGAAGCUGUCUUGAACUCUGAAGACCAGCUUAGCCACCAGAUGCCAAACACUGAGCAGGCUUUGUUCUCCACCCACAAACCAGAGGCUGUCUCAGCAGGAAGGAGUUGGAGUUGGAGAAAAAGGAGAAUUAAGAAUCUAUCUGGCGAUGUGGAUUAAAUAAACAACAAAUUGGCAGAUUGUUUUUAAAAGG
rnacentral:lncRNA from 10 species